rnacentral:rRNA from 1 species
UCGCUUUAGUUGCCAUCAUUAAGUUGGGCACUCUAGAGAGACUGCCGUGGACAACACGGAGGAAGGUGGGGACGACGUCAAGUCAUCAUGCCCCUUACGUCUUGGGCUACACACGUCCUACAAUGCUACGGACAGAGGGCAGCAAGCUAGCGAUAGCAAGCAAAUCCCAUAAACCGUAGCUCAGUUCAGAUUGCAGGCUGCAACUCGCCUGCAUGAAGGCGGAAUCGCUAGUAAUCGCAGGUCAGCAUACUGCGGUCGAAUACGUUCCCGGGCCUU